AAUAAAAUUAUUUAUGGUUUAAAAAUUUAUUAUAAAUUUAUUUUACAUAUAAAUUUUAGUGUUAAUUUUUAAUUUAUUUAAAUAAUAAUUAAUAUUUAUUUGUAGUAAUUAAAAUUAAAAAUUUAAGUAAUUAAGAUUUAGUAAUAUUUAAAUUAAUAACAAAUUUUGUGCCAGCAGUUGCGGUUAUACAAAAAUUAAAUUAAAUUUUUUUAGGGAUUAAUUAAUAAUAAAUUAUAUAAUAAAAUUAAAAUUUAAAUUAUUAAGUGAAAUUUUAAUUUAUGAAAAUUUUAUAUUGAAUUAUGAAUUAAAAAAUUUUAUUAAAAACUAGGAUUAGAUACCCUAUUAUUUAAAAUUUAAAUUAAUAAUACUAAAAUAGUAUAUAAAUAUUUAUAAAAACUUUAAUAAUUUGGCGGUAUUUUAGUUUAUUUAGAGGAAUCUGUUUAUUAAUUGAUAUUCCACGAAUAAAUUUACUUAAUUUAUUUAAUUUUCGUAUAUCGUUGUUAUAUAAAUAUUUUAAAAUAAUAAUAAUAUUUUAAUUUUUAUAUUAAAAGUUAAAUCAGAUCAAGAUGCAGAUUAUAAUUAAGAAUAUAAUCGGAUUACAAUAAAUUUAUUUAAUUGGAUGUUAUUUUUAAAAAUUAAUUGAAAUUGGAUUUAAAUGUAAUUUUAUUUAAUUUAUUAAAAUGAUUUUAAUUUAAAAUAUGUACAUAUUGCCCGUCGCUUUCAUCAAUAAAUUAAAAUACGUCGUAACAAAGUAGAGGUACUGGAAAGUGUAUCUAGAAUGAGU
rnacentral:ncRNA from 1 species